UUACGGCCAUAUAAAUUUGAAACAUCGGUUCUCGUAAGACCACCGAAGUUAAGCAAACCUCGCGCUUGGUCAGUACCUAGAUGGGUGACUGCUUGGGAAUACCAGGUGCUGUAA